GCCUCGGUGGCGAAACCGGUAGACGCGCGGGACUCAAAAUCCCGUUCAGCAAUGAGUGUCGGUUCGAGUCCGACCCGAGGCACCA
rnacentral:tRNA from 2 species